rnacentral:misc_RNA from 1 species
GAUGAAGAACGUAGCGAAAUGCGAUAAGUAAUGUGAAUUGCAGAAUUCAGUGAAUCAUCGAAUCUUUGAACGCACCUUGCGCCCUUUGGCUAUUCCGAAGGGCAUGCCUGUUUGAGUAUCAUGAACACCUCAACUCUCAUGGUUUGCCAUGAUGAGCUUGGACUUUGGGGGUCUUGCCGGCCUAUGGGUCGGCUCCUCUCAAAUUAAUCAGCUUGCCAGUGUUUGGUGGCAUCACAGGUGUGAUAACUAUCUACGCUUGUGGUUUUCCAUCAGGUAACCUUCAGUGAUGGAGGUUCGCUGGGGCUCAUAAAUGUCUCUCCUCAGUGAGGACAGCUUUUUGAACGUUUGAUCUCAAAUCAGGUAGGACUACCCGCUGAACUUAAGCAUAUCAAUAAGCGGAGGA